rnacentral:rRNA from 1 species
GACGAACGCUGGCGGCGUGCCUAAUACAUGCAAGUCGAGCGGAUAUCAUUUAUGAUAUUAGCGGCGAACGGGUGAGUAACACGUGGGUAACCUGCCCCUUAGACUGGGAUAACACCGGGAAACCGGAGCUAAUACCGGAUACGCUAUCUUAUGGGUAGUAAAAGGCUUUGGCUACUAGGGGAUGGGCCCGCGGCGCAUUAGCUAGUUGGUAGGGUAAAGGCUUACCAAGGCGACGAUGCGUAGCCGACCUGAGAGGGUGACCGGCCACACUGGGACUGAGACACGGCCCAGACACCUACGGGUGGCUG